UGGUGCCUUCGGGAACUGUGAGACAGGUGCUGCAUGGCUGUCGUCAGCUCGUGUUGUGAAAUGUUGGGUUAAGUCCCGCAACGAGCGCAACCCUUAUCCUUUGUUGCCAGCGGUUAGGCCGGGAACUCAAAGGAGACUGCCAGUGAUAAACUGGAGGAAGGUGGGGAUGACGUCAAGUCAUCAUGGCCCUUACGACCAGGGCUACACACGUGCUACAAUGGCGCAUACAAAGAGAAGCGACCUCGCGAGAGCAAGCGGACCUCAUAAAGUGCGUCGUAGUCCGGAUUGGAGUCUGCAACUCGACUCCAUGAAGUCGGAAUCGCUAGUAAUCGUGGAUCAGAAUGCCACGGUGAAUACGUUCCCGGGCCUUGUACACACCGCCCGUCACACCAUGGGAGUGGGUUGCAAAAGAAGUAGGUAGCUUAACCUUCGGGAGGGCGCUUACCACUUUGUGAUUCAUGACUGGGGUGAAGUCGUAACAAGGUAACCGUAGGGGAACCUGCGGUUGGAUCACCUCCUUACCUUAAAGAA
rnacentral:rRNA from 2 species